rnacentral:rRNA from 1 species
AUUGAACGCUGGCGGCAUGCUUUACACAUGCAAGUCGAACGGCAGCGGGGUAGUGCUUGCACUACUGCCGGCGAGUGGCGAACGGGUGUGUAAUAUAUCGGAACGUACCGAGUAAUGGGGGAAAACCAAUCGAAAGAUUGGCUAUUACCGCAAACGUACUGAAGGGCAAAGUGGGAGAUCGCAAGACCUUGUUUCAUUCGCUCGGCCGGUAACUGAUUAUGUAGUUGGUGGGGUACAGGCCAACCAACGACAGGAUCAGUGGCGGGUCUCAGAGGAGGAUCGGCCACAUUGGGACUGAGACGCGGCCCAGACUCCUACGGGAGGCAGCAGUGGGGAAUUUUCCACAAUGGGAGCAAGCCUGAUCAAGCCAUGCCGCGUGUAUGACGAAGGACUUCGGAUUGUAAAAUACUUUUAUUAGGGAAGAAAAGGGAUGUGCGUAAAUCACUUUUUGCUGACGGUACCUAAAGAGUAAGCUCCGGCUAACUACGUG